GCACACUAACAUUUGUUGUCGACAAAAGGUUUAUCAUACGUUUUAUGAAAUAAAAUGCAUUUCUUUGUUUCUAUUACCGUUUGCCAUUUAAAAAAUCAAUGCAUUACGCUCACGAAAAGGGUAUCACAAAAGGUGCGGCAUGCCUGCUAUGUGUAGUCGUAAAGAAGGAGAACAAAGUAAUAUUUUACGCAGAACGUGUUUAUAUGAUUAUUACUUACUUUUGGUCAUUUUUUUGAACACUAUUAUUUUUUAUUAUGGUACAAACAAUACGAAGUACAGAAAUCUCUACUAGUAAAGUGUAAUCUAUGAUUUCAAAGUUAUUUUCGUUGUAUCACUUUUGACAGUGAUAAAUUCUUCUCGUGGAUUAGUCUUUCUUUCGCAAAUAUAAAACGGAUC